rnacentral:lncRNA from 1 species
GCCCGAGCCGCGUUGCGCCGCCCCCAGUGCGACCGCCUCCCCCUCCCGAUCGCGUCACACUCAAGGUCCAAAGAUGGUGUGCGCACUUGUCUGUGGUCAUUUCCCAUUAUAAUGAAUGGGAGGCGCAGUUUCUACCAAAACACUCGCUGCAGACAAACUCCAUGUCCUAUUUGAAAAAAGUCUGGACCAUGAGUGAGGGCACAAACACAGCUAGGAUAUAUCCAAACGGCAAGUUGCUCCUCGUUACGGUGUUGCCGGGAGAGCGAUGCGAUUGAGCCAUUGAGUGAUGGGCAGGAAAAACUUGACUGUUUCUCCUGCCAUGGGGGAUGGGGGAUGGGAGGGGGGGAAGGGAUGUGGAUUCUUUUAAGAAUGUGGAUAUUUGGGUCAUCUUUGGCGCCCCCUAGAACGUAAACCGUGGGGUGCAGCGUCAUGAUUUUUAAAACUUUGAAUGGCCAUGGGGUGUAGAUUGGCCUGAGCAAAUUUGGUGUCAGUGGGACGAAAGCCUUAGGAGGAGUUAGCCACAUUCCAAUGUGUGCUAAUCGGCAAAAAAUGCAAAAUAGCCCUUUAACCGUACAUUUUACAGAUACGCGCGCAUUGACUUUUUCGUAGAUCUUAUUGAGAUACAUGUGUGUGUCAAAUUUUGUGUCAAUAUGACAAAGCAUACAGGUAUGACAGUCAACAAUGUGUAUUUUCACCUUAUGGGACAAUAAAAAAUGGACUUUUUUCUCCUGCCAUGGGGGGGCGCUCUUUUAGGGAGUAAAAAUUCCUUCACAAAUGUGUUGAUGGCUGGACAUUGCAUCAUCCUAGAAAACUUGGAGGCCAGAGAGGACAAAAAUAAAAAGUUAUAAGACUUUUAAAUAUGUGGAUUUUAGGGUUAUCUUUGGCGCCCCCUAGAACCUAAACCGUGGGGUGCAGCGUCAUGAUUUGAAUAACUUUUAAUGGCCAUGGGGUGUAAUUUGGCCUGAGCAAAUGUGGUGCCGGUUGAACGAAAGCCUUCGGAGGAGUUAGCGAAAUUCCAAUGUGUGCGGAUCGGCAAAAAAUGCGCAAUAACCCUUUAACCGUACAUUUGACAGAUACGCCCGCACUGACUUUUUUGUAGAUCUUAUUGAGAUACAUGUGUGUGUCAAUUUUUGUGUAAUUUUGACAAAGCGUACAGGCGUGACAGUCAAUAGUGUGAAUUUUCACCUUAGGGGACAAGAAAAAAUGGACUUUUUUCUCCUGCCAUGGGGGGGCGCUCUUUUGGGGAGUAAAAAUUCCUUCACAAAUGUGUUGAUGGCUGGACAUUGCAUCAUCCUAGAAAACUUGGAGGCCAGUGAGGACAAAAAUAAAAAGUUAUAAGACUUUUAAAUAUGUGGAUUUUAGGGUUAUCUUUGGCGCCCCCUAGAACGUAAACCGUGGGGUGCAGCGUCAUGAUUUUUAAAACUUUGAAUGGCCAUGGGGUGUAGAUUGGCCUGAGCAAAUUUGGUGUCAGUGGGACGAAAGCCUUAGGAGGAGUUAGCCACAUUCCAAUGUGUGCUAAUCGGCAAAAAAUGCAAAAUAGCCCUUUAACCGUACAUUUUACAGAUACGCGCGCAUUGACUUUUUCGUAGAUCUUAUUGAGAUACAUGUGUGUGUCAAAUUUUGUGUCAAUAUGACAAAGCAUACAGGUAUGACAGUCAACAAUGUGUAUUUUCACCUUAUGGGACAAUAAAAAAUGGACUUUUUUCUCCUGCCAUGGGGGGGCGCUCUUUUAGGGAGUAAAAAUUCCUUCACAAAUGUGUUGAUGGCUGGACAUUGCAUCAUCCUAGAAAACUUGGAGGCCAGAGAGGACAAAAAUAAAAAGUUAUAAGACUUUUAAAUAUGUGGAUUUUAGGGUUAUCUUUGGCGCCCCCUAGAACCUAAACCGUGGGGUGCAGCGUCAUGAUUUGAAUAACUUUUAAUGGCCAUGGGGUGUAGAUUGGCCUGAGCAAAUGUGGUGCCGGUUGAACGAAAGCCUUCGGAGGAGUUAGCGAAAUUCCAAUGUGUGCGGAUCGGCAAAAAAUGCGCAAUAACCCUUUAACCGUACAUUUGACAGAUACGCCCGCACUGACUUUUUUGUAGAUCUUAUUGAGAUACAUGUGUGUGUCAAUUUUUGUGUAAUUUUGACAAAGCGUACAGGCGUGACAGUCAAUAGUGUGAAUUUUCACCUUAUGGAACAAGAAAAAAUGGACUUUUUUCUCCUGCCAUGGGGGGGCGCUCUUUUGGGGAGUAAAAAUUCCUUCACAAAUGUGUUGAUGGCUGGACAUUGCAUCAUCCUAGAAAACUUGGAGGCCAGUGAGGGCAAAAAUAAAAAGUUAUAAGACUUUGAAAUAUGUGGAUUUUAGGGUUAUCUUUGGCGCCCCCUAGAACAUAAACCGUGGGGUGCAGCGUCAUGAUUUGAAUAACUUUUAAUGGCCAUGGGGUGUAGAUUGGCCUGAGCAAAUGUGGUGCCGGUGGAACGAAAGCCUUCGGAGGAGUUAGCGAAAUUCCAAUGUGUGCGGAUCGGCAAAAAAUGCGAAAUAACCCUUUAACCGUACAUUUGACAGAUACGCCCGCACUGACUUUUUUAUAGAUCUUAUUGAGAUACAUGUGUGUUUCAAUUUUUGUGUCAUUUUGACAAAGCGUACAGGCGUCAGGUGAAUUUUUCACCUUAGGGGGCGCUAUGGAGCCAUUUUGCAUUGUAUUGUUUGGGCGACUUCAGAAUAUCAAAUUUUUCACCAGGCCCGGUCGUCCUGCCAAAUUUCAUGAGUUUUCGCCAGUGGGAAGUGGGCCAUUUUCCAGUUCAAAGGGGAGGAAAAAUAAUAACUAGGGCCCCGUUGGGGCACUGUCGGGCCCGAGCCGCGUUGCGCCGCCCCCAGCGCGACCGCCUCCCCCUCCCGAUCGCGUCACACUCAAGGUCCAAAGAUGGUGUGCGCACUUGUCUGUGGUCAUUUCCCAUUAUAAUGAAUGGGAGGCGCAGUUUCUACCAAAACACUCGCUGCAGACAAACUACAUGUCCUAUUUGAAAAAAGUCUGAUCCAUGAGUGAGGGCACAAACACAGCUAGGAUAUAUCCAAAUGGCAAGUUGCUCCUCCUUUCGGAGGAGUUUGAACACAUGACAUGUGUUUGAGCCAUUGAGCGAUGGGCAGGAAAAACUUGACUUUUUCUCCUGCCAUGGGGGGGGGGCGCUCUUUUGGGGAGUAAAAAUUCCUUCACAAAUGUGUUGAUGGCUAGACAUUGCAUCAGCCUAGAAAACUUGGAAGCCAGUGAGGACAAAAAUGAAAAGUUAUAAGACUUUUAAGAAUGUGGAUUUUUGGGUUAUCUUUGGCGCCCCCUAGAACGUAAACCGUGGGGUGCAGCGUCAUGAUUUGUACAACUUUUAAUGGCCAUGGGGUGUAGAUUGGCCUGAGCAAAUGUGGUGCCGGUGGAACGAAAGCUUUAGGAGGAGUUAGCCACAUUCCAAUGUGUGCGAAUCGAUCAAAAAUGCGUAAUAGCCCUUUAACCGUACAUUUUACAGAUACGUGCGCAUUGACUUUUUCGUAGAUCUUAUUGAGAUACACGUGAUUGUCAAAUUUUGUUUCAAUAUGACAAAGCGUACAGGCGUGACACUCAACAAUGUGUAUUUUCACCUUAUGGGACAAGAAAAAAUGGACUUUUUUCUCCUGCCAUGGGGGGGCGCUCUUUUGGGGAGUAAAAAUUCCUUCACAAAUGUGUUGAUGGCUGGACAUUGCAUCAUCCUAGAAAACUUGGAGGCCAGUGAGGACAAAAAUAAAAAGUUAUAAGACUUUUAAGACUGUGGAUUUUUGGGUUAUUUUUGGCGCCCCCUAGAACGUAAACCGUGGGGUGCAGCGUCAUGAUUUGUACAACUUUUAAUGGCCAUGGGGUGUAGAUUGGCCUGAGCAAAUGUGGUGCCGGUGGAACGAAAGCUUUAGGAGGAGUUAGCCACAUUCCAAUGUGUGCGAAUCAAUCAAAAAUGCGUAAUAGCCCUUUAACCGUACAUUUUACAGAUACGUGCGCAUUGACUUUUUCGUAGAUCUUAUUGAGAUACACGUGAUUGUCAAAUUUUGUUUCAAUAUGACAAAGCGUACAGGCGUGACACUCAACAAUGUGUAUUUUCACCUUAUGGGACAAGAAAAAAUGGACUUUUUUCUCCUGCCAUGGGGGGGCGCUCUUUUGGGGAGUAAAAAUUCCUUCACAAAUGUGUUGAUGGCUGGACAUUGCAUCAUCCUAGAAAACCUGGAGGCCAGUGAGGACAAAAAUAAAAAGUUAUAAGACUUUUAAGACUGUGGAUUUUUGGGUUAUUUUUGGCGCCCCCUAGAACGUAAACCGUGGGGUGCAGCGUCAUGAUUUGUACAACUUUUAAUGGCCAUGGGGUGUAGAUUGGCCUGAGCAAAUUUGGUGCCGGUGGAACGAAAGCCUUCGGAGGAGUUAGCGAAAUUCCAAUGUGUGCGGUUCCGCAAAAAAUGCAAAAUAGCCCUUUAACCGUAUAUUUGACAGAUACGUGCGCAUUGACUUUUUCGUAGAUCUUAUUGAGAUACACGUGAUUGUCAAAUUUUGUUUCAAUAUGACAAAGCGUACAGGCGUGACACUCAACAAUGUGUAUUUUCACCUUAUGGGACAAGAAAAAAUGGACUUUUUUCUCCUGCCAUGGGGGGGCGCUCUUUUGGGGAGUAAAAAUUCCUUCACAAAUGUGUUGAUGGCUGGACAUUGCAUCAUCCUAGAAAACCUGGAGGCCAGUGAGGACAAAAAUAAAAAGUUAUAAGACUUUUAAGACUGUGGAUUUUUGGGUUAUUUUUGGCGCCCCCUAGAACGUAAACCGUGGGGUGCAGCGUCAUGAUUUGUACAACUUUUAAUGGCCAUGGGGUGUAGAUUGGCCUGAGCAAAUUUGGUGCCGGUGGAACGAAAGCCUUCGGAGGAGUUAGCGAAAUUCCAAUGUGUGCGGUUCCGCAAAAAAUGCAAAAUAGCCCUUUAACCGUACAUUUGACAGAUACGUGCGCAUAGACUUUUUUGUAGAUCUUAUUGAGAUACACGUGUGUGUCAAAUUUUAUUUCAAUAUGACAAAGCGUAUAGGCGUGACACUCAACAAUAUGUAUUUUCACCUUAGGGGACAAGAAAAAAUGGACUUUUUUCUCCUGCCAUGGGGGGGCGCUCUUUUGGGGAGUAAAAAUUCCUUCACAAAUGUGUUGAUGGCUGGUCAUUGCAUCAUCCUAGAAAACUUGGAGGCCAGUGAGGGCAAAAAUAAAAAGUUAUUAGACUUUUAAGAAUGUGGAUUUUUGGGUUAUCUUUGGCGCCCCCUAGAACGUAAACCGUGGGGUGCAGCGUCAUGAUUUGUACAACUUUUAAUGGCCAUGGGGUGUAGAUUGGCCUGAGCAAAUUUGGUGCCGGUGGAAUGAAAGCCUUCGGAGGAGUUAGCGAAAUUCCAAUGUGUGCGGUUCCGCAAAAAAUGCAAAAUAGCCCUUUAACCGUACAUUUGACAGAUACGUGCGCAUAGACUUUUUUGUAGAUCUUAUUGAGAUACACGUGUGUGUCAAAUUUUGUGUCAUUUUGACAAAGCGUACAGGUGUGACACUCAAUCAUGUGAAUUUUUCACCUAAGGGGGCGCUAUGGAGCCAUUUUGCAUUUGAUUGUUUGGGCGACUUCAGAAUAUCGAAUUUUUCACCAGGCCCGGUCGUCCUGCCAAAUUUCAUGAGUUUUCACCAGUGGGAAGUGGGCCAUUUUCUAGUUCAAAGGGGCAGAAAAAUAACAAGAAGACUAGGGCCCCGUUGGGGCACUGGCGGGCCCGAGCCGUGUCACGCCGCCCCCAGCACGACCGCCUCCCCCACCCGAUCGCGUCACACUCAAGGUCCAAAGAUGGUGUGCGCACUUGUUUGUGGUCAUUUACCAUUAUAAUGAACGGGAGGCGCAGUUUCUACCAAAACGCUCGCUGCAGAAAAACUCCAUGUCCUAUUUGAAAAAAGUCUGGACCAUGAGUGAGGGCACAAACACAGCUAAGAUAUAUCCAAAUGGCAAGUUGCUCCUCCUUUCGCUUUUGCCGAGAGAGCAGUGCGUUUGAGCCAUUGAAUGAUGAACAGGAAAAACUUGACUUUAUUCUCCUGCCAUGGGGGGCGCUCUUUUAACGAGAAAAAACUCCUUCACAAAUGUGUUGAUGGCUGGACAUUGCAUCAUCCUAGAAAACAUGGAGGCCAGUGAGGACAAAAAUAAAAAGUUAUAAGACUUUUAAAUAUGUGGAUUUUAGGGUUAUCUUUGGCGCCCCCUAGAACCUAAACCGUGGGGUGCAGCGUCAUGAUUUGAAUAACUUUUAAUGGCCAUGGGGUGUAGAUUGGCCUGAGCAAAUGUGGUGCCGGUGGAACGAAAGCCUUCGGAGGAGUUAGCGAAAUUCCAAUGUGUGCGAAUCUGCAAAAAAUGCGAAAUAACCCUUUAACCGUACAUUUUACAGAUACGUGGCCAUUGACUUUUUCGAAGAUCUUAUUGAAAGACACGUGUAUGUAAAAUUUUGUGUCAAUACGACAAAACAUACAGGCGUAGCACUCAACAAUGUGUAUUUUCACCUUAGUGGACAAGAAAAAAUGGACUUUUUUCUCCUGCCAUGGGGGGCGCUCUUUUGGCGAGUAAAAAUUCCUUCACAAAUGUGUUGAUGGCUGGACAUUGCAUCAUCCUAGAAAACUUGGAGGCCAGUGGGGACAAAAAUAAAAAGUUAUAAGACUUUUAAAUAUGUGGAUUUUACGGUUAUCUUUGGCGCCCCCUAGAACCUAAACCGUGGGGUGCAGCGUCAUGAUUUGAAUAACUUUUAAUGGCCAUGGGGUGUAGAUUGGCCUGAGAAAAUGUGGUGCCGGUGGAACGAAAGCCUUCGGAGGAGUUAGCGAAAUUCCAAUGUGUGCGGAUCGGCAAAAAAUGCGGAAUAACCCUUUAACCGUACAUUUGACAGAUACGUGCGCAUUGACUUUUUUGUAGAUCUUAUUGAGAUACAUGUGUGUCUCAAUUUUGGUGUCAUUUUGCCAAAGCGUACAGGUGUUACACUCAACAAUGUGUAUUUUCACCUUAGGGGACAAGAAAAAAUGGACUUUUUUCUCCUGCCAUGGGGGGGCGCUCUUUUGGGGAGUAAAAAUUCCUUCACAAAUGUGUUGAUGGCUGGACAUUGCAUCAUCCUAGAAAACUUGGAGGCCAGUGAGGGCAAAAAUAAAAAGUUAUAAGACUUUUAAAUAUGUGGAUCUUAGGGUUAUCUUUGGCGCCCCCUAGAACCUAAACCGUGGGGUGCAGCGUCAUGAUUUGAAUAACUUUUAAUGGCCAUGGGGUGUAGAUUGGCCUGAGCAAAUGUGGUGCCGGUGGAACGAAAGCCUUCGGAGGAGUUAGCGAAAUUCCAAUGUGUGCGGAUCGGCAAAAAAUGCGAAAUAACCCUUUAACCGUACAUUUGACAGAUACGCCCGCACUGACUUUUUUGUAGAUCUUAUUGAGAUACAUGUGUGUGUCAAUUUUUGUGUCAUUUUGACAAAGCGUACAGGCGUGACAGUCAAUAGUGUGAAUUUUCACCUUAGGGGGCGCUAUGGAGCCAUUUUGCAUUUUCUUGUUUGGGCGACUUCGGAAUAUCAAAUUUUUCACCAGGCCCGGUCGUCCUGCCAAAUUUCAUGAGUUUUCGCCAGUGGGAAGUGGGCCAUUUUCCAGUUCAAAGGGGAGGAAAAAUAAUAACUAGGGCCCCGUUGGGGCACUGGCGGGCCCGAGCCGUGUCACGCCGCCCCCAGCGCGACCGCCUCCCUCACCCGAUCGCGUCACACUCAAGGUCCAAAGAUGGUGUGCGCACUUGUUUGUGGUCAUUUACCAUUAUAAUGAACGGGAGGCGCAGUUUCUACCAAAACGCUCGCUGCAGAAAAACUCCAUGUCCUAUUUGAAAAAAGUCUGGACCAUGAGUGAGGGCACAAACACAGCUAAGAUAUAUCCAAAUGGCAAGUUGCUCCUCCUUUCGCUUUUGCCGAGAGAGCAGUGCGUUUGAGCCAUUGAAUGAUGAACAGGAAAAACUUGACUUUAUUCUCCUGCCAUGGGGGGCGCUCUUUUAAAGAGAAAAAACUCCUUCACAAAUGUGUUGAUGGCUGGACAUUGCAUCAUCCUAGAAAACAUGGAGGCCAGUGAGGACAAAAAUAAAAAGUUAUAAGACUUUUAAAUAUGUGGAUUUUAGGGUUAUAUUUGGCGCCCCCUAGAACCUAAACCGUGGGGUGCAGCGUCAUGAUUUGAAUAACUUUUAAUGGCCAUGGGGUGUAGAUUGGCCUGAGCAAAUGUGGUGCCGGUGGAACGAAAGCCUUCGGAGGAAUUAGCGAAAUUCCAAUGUGUGCGAAUCUGCAAAAAAUGCGAAAUAACCCUUUAACCGUACAUUUUACAGAUACGUGGCCAUUGCCUUUUUCGAAGAUCUUAUGUAAAUACACGUGUAUGUAAAAUUUUGUGUCAAUACGACAAAACAUACAGGCGUAGCACUCAACAAUGUGUAUUUUCACCUUAGUGGACAAGAAAAAAUUGACUUUUUUCUCCUGCCAUGGGGGGGCGCUCUUUUGGGGAGUAAAAAUUCCUUCACAAAUGUGUUGAUGGCUGGACAUUGCAUCAUCCUAGAAAACUUGGAGGCCAGUGGGGACAAAAAUAAAAAGUUAUAAGACUUUUAAAUAUGUGGAUUUUACGGUUAUCUUUGGCUCCCCCUAGAACCUAAACCGUGGGGUGCAGCGUCAUGAUUUGAAUAACUUUUAAUGGCCACGGGGUGUAGAUUGGCCUGAGCAAAUGUGGUGCCGGUGGAACGAAAGCCUUCGGAGGAGUUAGCGAAAUUCCAAUGUGUGCGGAUCGGCAAAAAAUGCGGAAUAACCCUUUAACCGUACAUUUGACAGAUACGCGCGCAUUGACUUUUUCGUAGAUCUUAUUGAGAUACAUGUGUGUGUCAAUUUUUGUGUCAUUUUGCCAAAGCGUACAGGUGUUACACUCAACAAUGUGUAUUUUCACCUUAGGGGACAAGAAAAAAUGGACUUUUUUCUCCUGCCAUGGGGGGGCGCUCUUUUGGGGAGUAAAAAUUCCUUCACAAAUGUGUUGAUGGCUGGACAUUGCAUCAUCCUAGAAAACUUGGAGGCCAGUGAGGGCAAAAAUAAAAAGUUAUAAGACUUUUAAAUAUGUGGAUCUUAGGGUUAUCUUUGGCGCCCCCUAGAACCUAAACCGUGGGGUGCAGCGUCAUGAUUUGAAUAACUUUUAAUGGCCAUGGGGUGUAGAUUGGCCUGAGCAAAUGUGGUGCCGGUGGAACGAAAGCCUUCGGAGGAGUUAGCGAAAUUCCAAUGUGUGCGGAUCGGCAAAAAAUGCGAAAUAACCCUUUAACCGUACAUUUGACAGAUACGCCCGCACUGACUUUUUUGUAGAUCUUAUUGAGAUACAUGUGUGUGUCAAUUUUUGUGUCAUUUUGACAAAGCGUACCGGCGUGACAGUCAAUAGUGUGAAUUUUCACCUUAGGGGGCGCUAUGGAGCCAUUUUGCAUUUUCUUGUUUGGGCGACUUCGGAAUCUCAAAUUUUUCACCAGGCCCGGUCGUCCUGCCAAAUUUCAUGAGUUUUCGCCAGUGGGAAGUGGGCCAUUUUCCAGUUCAAAGGGGAGGAAAAAUAAUAAUAAUAAUAACAAACUAGGGCCCCGUUGGGGCACUGGCGGGCCCGAGCUGUGUCGCGCCCCCCCCCCCCCAACGCGCUGCCUCCCCGUCCCAUUCGCGUCCUCUGGCCAUCGUCCUCUCUGGUAACGCCCAUCACUGCAAAGACCCUUUUCCUUCAUCGGCGUUUGCUGUUCUUCCUGCCAGUGCGUGUUGCUUUCACUUACACUUGCCACAGCCAGCCUCGUGAGUGCCUAGCCUAUUGGAUAUCACUGUCACCUACACAGGACAGUCAUUACCUUUCUAUUAAUACUUUGUUUUUUAAUUUCACAUUAAUUUCCAUAUUGUAUAAACGACUGGAAAAAACUUGAGCCCCUGCCCCUGUAUAAUCAUGUGCACGUCCCUGUUCUCGCUCCAAGGUGAAUCUUCACUGCUCAUGUUCUCCUCAGAAGCACUCACCUCACUCCCCUCAGGUAACUGUACACAUGCACCAACUGCCUGCUUCAGGUUUGGAUGGAGCUUCAUGGUUGUCUUUUGGAGAAAUGACCAGUCAAGUUGUGUUUGAAAUUUGAUUUUUUUCAGGGGCAAAAGGAGCCUCUGCAUUGUUGUCAAAUAUGUAAAUAGCAUGUUUUUGCAGGUGCUAAAAAACAGACUCUGAGUGUGUGUGUGUGUGUGUGUGUGUGUGUGUGUGUGUGUGUGUGUGUGUGUGUGUGUGUGUGUGUGUCUGUGUUUGUGUGUGUCUGUGUGUGUGUAUCCUGCAGUACUCUGUACUCCUGCAGUGGCCAAAACGACUUUUAAGAAUGUGGAUAUUUGGGUCAUCUUUGGCGCCCCCUAGAACGUAAACCAUGGGGUGCAGCGGCAUGAUUUUUACAACUUUGAAUGGCCAUGGGAUGUAGAUCGGCUUGAGCAAAUUUGGUGUCGGUGGGAAGAAAGCCUUAGGAGGAGUUAGCCACAUUCCAAUGUGUGCGAAUCUGCAAAAAAUGCGAAAUAGCCCUUUAACCAUACAUUUUACAGAUACGUGCCCAUUGACUUUUUCGUAGAUCUUAUUGAGAUACACGUGAUUGUCAAAUUUUGGGUCAAUAUGACAAAGCGUAUAGGCGUGACACUCAACAAUGUGUAUUUUCACCUUAGGGGACAAGAAAAAAUGGACUUUUUUCUCCUGCCAUGUGGGGGCGCUCUUUUGGGGAGUAAAAAUUCCUUCACAAAUGUGUUGAUGGCUGGACAUUGCAUCAUCCUAGAGAACUUGGAGGCCAGUGAGGACAAAAAUAAAAAGUUAUAAGACUUUUAAGACUGUGGAUUUUUGGGUUAUCUUUGGCGCCCCCUAGAACGUAAACUGUGGGGUGCAGCGUCAUGAUUUGUACAACUUUUAAUGGCCAUGGGGUGUAGAUUGGCCUGAGCAAAUGUGGUGCUGGUGGAACGAAUGCCUUCGGAGGAGUUAGCGAAAUUCCAAUGUGUGCAGAUCGGCAAAAAAUGCGAAAUAACCCUCUAACAUUACAUUUCACAGAUGCGCCCGCGCUGACUUUUUCGUAGAACGUAUUGAGAUACACGUGUGUGUCAAUUUUUGUGUCAAUAUGACAAAGCGUACAGGCGUGACAGUCAAUAGUGUGAAUUUUCGCCUUAGGGGGCGCUAUGGAGCCAUUUUGCAUUUUAUUGUUUGGGCGACUUCAGAAUAUCGAAUUUUUCACCAGGCCCGGUCGUCCUGCCAAAUUUCAUGAGUUUUCGCCAGUGGGAAGUCGGCCAUUUUCCAGUUUAAAGCGGAGGAAAAAUAAUAAUAACAAGAAAAAAUGGACUUUUUUCUCCGGCCAUGGGGGGGCGCUCUUUUGGGGAGUAAAAAUUCCUUCACAAAUGUGUUGAUGGCUGGACAUUGCAUCAUCCUAGAAAACUUGGAGGCCAGUGAGGGCAAAAAUAAAAAGUUAUAAGACUUUUAAAUAUGUGGAUUUUAGGGUUAUCUUUGGCGCCCCCUAGAACCUAAACCGUGGGGUGCAGCGUCAUGAUUUGAAUAACUUUUAAUGGCCAUGGGGUGUAGAUUGGCCUGAGCAAAUGUGGUGCCGGUGGAAAGAAAGCCUUCGGAGGAGUUAGCGAAAUUCCAAUGUGUGCGGAUCGGCAAAAAAUGCGGAAUAACCCUUUAACCGUACAUUUGACAGAUACGCCCGCACUGACUUUUUUGUAGAUCUUAUUGAGAUACAUAUGUGUGUCAAUUUUUGUGUCAUUUUGACAAAGCGUAAAGGCGUGACAGUCAAUAGUGUGAAUUUUCACCUUAGGGGGCGCUAUGGAGCCAUUUUGCAUUUUCUUGUUUGGGCGACUUCGGAAUAUCAAAUUUUUCACCAGGCCCGGUCAUCCUGCCAAAUUUCAUGAGUUUUCGCCAGUGGGAAGUGGGCCAUUUUCCAGUUCAAAGGGGAGGAAAAAGAAGAAAGAAAGAAACAAAGAAAAACCACUUGGGGAAUAAUAGGGCUCUCGCAGCUGCUUAGCAGCUACGCUCGGGCCCUAACUAGGACCCCGUUGGGGCACUGGCGGGCCCGAGCUGUGUCGCGUCCCCCCCCCCAACGUGCUGCCUCCCCGUCCCAUUCGCGUCCUCUGGCCAUCGCCCUCUCUGGUAACGCCCAUCACUGCAAAGACCCUUUUCCUUCAUCGGCGUUUGCUGUUCUUCCUGCCAGUGCGUGUUGCUUUCACUUACACUUGCCACAGCCAGCCUCGUGAGUGCCUAGCCUAUUGGAUAUCACUGUCACCUACACAGGACAGUCAUUACCUUUCUAUUAAUACUUUGUUUUUUAAUUUCACAUUAAUUUCCAUAUUGUAUAAACAACUGGAAAAAACUUGAGCCCCUGCCCCUGUAUAAUCAUGUGCACGUCUCUGUUCUAGCUCUAAGGUGAAUCUUCACUGCUCAUGUUCUCCUCAGAAGCAGUCACCUCACUCCCCUCAGGUUACUGUACACAUGCACCAACUGCCUGCUUCAGGUUUGGAUGGAGCUUCAUGGUUGUCUUUUGGAGAAAUGACCAGUCAAGUUGUGUUUGAAAUCUGAUUUUUUUCAGGGGCAAAAGGAGCCUCUGCAUUCUUGUCAAAUAUGUAAAUAGCAUGUUUUUGCAGGUGCUAAAAACCAGACUCUGGGUUUGUGUGUGUGCGUGUGUGUGUGUGUGUGUCUGUGUGUGUGUGUGUGUGUGUGUGUGUGUGUGUGUGUGCCUUCAAGUCACACGACAUAUUUAACCGGAUGUAGCUGCAAGACGGAGCCUCAUUGACUCUCCGUUUCAACUUAUCUCAAAAGUGAGGACCUCAACCUAUAUACCAGUUUUUAAAUUGUGUUGAUAGGCCAAAUAAAACCAGUUAUGAUAAAUUAUGUCCGCGAUACUUGUUUUCAGCUUAUUUUGAUCACGUUCGGCGCUCGAUCGCGCUGUAUGAGACAGGAAAACAUAGCAUGCAGACAUUAGCGACAGGUCUUACAGCGGAAAAGGCUUGCCAAAGGAAAAAAAAAACACACCACAACAUCUCUCCUAUUGGUGGAAAACUUCACCACAACAACCAAUCCAAAAUUAUAUGGUGACUGAUUGACAAGGGGCGGGCGCUUACGUUCUUCCUGCAAUAUGAGAAGGGAGGGAGGGACUCUCAGCAGGGAUGCAGUCUGGGACACGUAGUUGCAAACCUAGCGACUUUGUUGUUAGAUUCAAUGACUUUUCAGACCCCCUAACGACUUUUUUUUAGAAAGAAAGUGACUUUUAUCGACUUCUUCUGGAGUUUAGAGACUCUGACAUGAAGCAGGCUUUCCUUACUGAGGAGUUAGCAACGCUGCUAAGGGUGCAGAGCCACACAUGCGCUCCGAGCUCUGCAUGGGAGACUGAAGCUGACAGAGCUGCAGCAGUUAGCAGGUUUCACCCUCAGAGACCACCAGGGGUUCAUGUUGAGGCAUUUUCAGUUGUUUUUUUUUUUUUUUGCCAUAGACACUGUCAGCACAAUCUGCAGUUACACUAACAAAAAUGCUGCAAAAAACAAAGAAUUAUGGAAAAAUUACACAUGGACUAACAUAGAGGAGGAUCUACACAAGUUUUUUACAUCAUGUUUUACAUCAUGCAUCAUUUACAUCAUGUUUUUUUGUAGUGGCAUAAAUAAAAAGUGACAUUUGUGAGACUAUACAGUGUUUUGUAAAUAAUUUUACAAAGAACACCUGGGCCAUUGCCUGCAUUUUGAUGUAAAUAGAGGUAAAUUACUAUGUUCUUUGUUAAAAAUUUGCAUAUGUUUUGAAGUUUACAAUUUUUAUUUGAAGUUUAAGUUUUAAAAACAGUUCAUCACACAUAUUUGUGGUUUUCACAGUAAAAACGUUACUUUUUUCCACUCGGAUUUUAUGUUUUGUGUGUGAAUUUGGGUCCAAUGUGUAAAUAUAGUAUGUCAAAAUGAUAAAAUAACUGUAAAUUGACACAGGUGAGGUUGUGCUGAAAAAAAUGAUACCAGGCAAGGCAAGGUAAAAAUUUUGUAAGAGGAAAUAUAAAGGUAAAAUCUAAAGUAGUCAAAAACGGCCAAUAGUGACUCACAGACUCCACAGACAAGUCCCUUUGGCGCCACUCAGUGGGCAAAACUACUUUGUCUACUGUAAUGUAUAUUUGGGUCAUCUUUGGCGCCCCCUAAAACGUAAACCGUGGGGUGCAGCGUCAUGAUUUUUACAACUUUGAAUGGCCAUGGAGUGUAGAUUGGCCUGAGCAAAUUUGGUGUCAGUGGGACGAAAGCCUUAGGAGGAGUUAGCGAAAUUCCAAUGUGUGCGAAUCGGCAAAAAAUGCAAUAUAGCCCUUUUACCGUACAUUAUACAGAUACGCGCUCUUUGACUUUUUCGUAGAUCUAAUUGAGAUACACAUGAUUGUCAAUUUUUGUGUCAUUUUGCCAAAGCGUUCAGGCGUGACAGUCAACAAUGUGUAUUUUCACCUUAGGGGACAAGAAAAAAUGGACUUUUUUCUCCUGCCAUGGGGGGGCGCUCUUUUAGGGAGUAAAAAUUCCUUCACAAAUGUGUUGAUGGCUGGACAUUGCAUCAUCCUAGAAAACUUGGAGGCCAGUGAGGACAAAAAUAAAAAGUUAUAAGACUUUUAAAAAUGUGGAUUUUUGGGUUAUCUUUGGCGCCCCCUAGAACGUAAACCGUGGGGUGCAGCGUCAUGAUUUGAAUAACUUUUAAUGGCCAUGGGGUGUAGAUUGGCCUGAGCAAAUGUGGUGCCGGUGGAACGAAAGCCUUCGGAGGAGUUAGCGAAAUUCCAAUGUGUGCGGAUCGGCAAAAAAUGCGGAAUAACCCUUUAACCGUACAUUUGACAGAUACGCGCGCUUUGACUUUUUUGUAGAUCUUAUUGAGAUACAUGUGUGUGUCAAUUUUUGUGUCAUUUUGACAAAGCGUACAGGCGUGACACUCAACAAUGUGUAUUUUCACCUUAGGGGACAAGAAAAAAUGGACUUUUUUCUCCUGCCAUGGGGGGGCGCUCUUUUGGGGAGUAAAAAUUCCUCAACAAAUGUGUUGAUGGCUGGACAUUGCAUCAUCCUAGAAAACUUGGAGGCCAGUGAGGGCAAAAAAUAAAAAGUUAUAAGACUUUUAAAUAUGUGGAUUUUAGUGUUAUCUUUGGCGCCCCCUAGAACCUAAACCGUGGGGUGCAGCGUCAUGAUUUGAAUAACUUUUAAUGGCCAUGGGGUGUAGAUUGGCCUGAGCAAAUGUGGUGCCGGUGGAACGAAAGCCUUCGGAGGAGUUAGCGAAAUUCCAAUGUGUGCGGAUCAGCAAAAAAUGCGGAAUAACCCUUUAACCGUACAUUUGACAGAUACGCACGCAUUGACUUUUUCGUAGAUCUUAUUGAGAUACAUGUGUGUGUCAAAUUUUGUGUCAAUAUGACAAAGCGUACAGGCGUGACACUCAACAAUGUGUAUUUUCACCUUAAGGGACAAGAAAAAAUGGACUUUUUUCUCCGGCCAUGGGGGGGCGCUCUUUUGGGGAGUAAAAAUUCCUUCACAAAUGUGUUGAUGGCUGGACAUUGCAUCAUCCUAGAAAACUUGGAGGCCAGUGAGGGCAAAAAUAAAAAGUUAUAAGACUUUGAAAUUUGUGGAUUUUAGGGUUAUCUUUGGCGCCCCCUAGAACCUAAACCGUGGGGUGCAGCGUCAUGAUUUGAAUAAUUUUUAAUGGCCAUGGGGUGUAGAUUGGCCUGAGCAAAUGUGGUGCCGGUGGAAAGAAAGCCUUCGGAGGAGUUAGCGAAAUUCCAAUGUGUGCGGAUCGGCAAAAAAUGCGGAAUAACCCUUUAACCGUACAUUUGACAGAUACGCCCGCACUGACUUUUUUGUAGAUCUUAUUGAGAUACAUAUGUGUGUCAAUUUUUGUGUCAUUUUGACAAAGCAUAAAGGCGUGACAGUCAAUAGUGUGAAUUUUCACCUUAGGGGGCGCUAUGGAGCCAUUUUGCAUUUUCUUGUUUGGGCGACUUCGGAAUAUCAAAUUUUUCACCAGGCCCGGUCAUCCUGCCAAAUUUCAUGAGUUUUCGCCAGUGGGAAGUGGGCCAUUUUCCAGUUCAAAGGGGAGGAAAAAGAAGAAAGAAAGAAACAAAGAAAAACCACUUGGGGAAUAAUAGGGCUCUCGCAGCUGCUUAGCAGCUACGCUCGGGCCCUAACUAGGGCCCCGUUGGGGCACUGGCGGGCCCGAGCCGCGUUGCGCCGCCCCCAGUGCGACCGCCUCCCCCUCCCGAUCGCGUCACACUCAAGGUCCAAAGAUGGUGUGCGCACUUGUCUGUGGUCAUUUCCCAUUAUAAUGAAUGGGAGGCGCAGUUUCUACCAAAACACUCGCUGCAGACAAACUACAUGUCCUAUUUGAAAAAAGUCUGGACCAUGAGUGAGGGCACAAACACAGCUAGGAUAUAUCCAAACGGCAAGUUGCUCCUCGUUACGGUGUUGCCAGGAGAGCGAUGCGAUUGAGCCAUUGAGUGAUGGGCAGGAAAAACUUGACUGUUUCUCCUGCCAUGGGGGAUGGGGGAUGGGGGAUGG